rnacentral:misc_RNA from 1 species
GCAAACUUGGUCAUUUAGAGGAAGUAAAAGUCGUAACAAGGUUUCCGUAGGUGAACCUGCGGAAGGAUCAUUAACAAUUGUCCAAGAUAAUGGAUAAUUUAUCCAUAUCCACCUUGUGUGAAUCAUUGAAUUGUUUGUUGGCAGGUUAAGCUCUCCGAGCUGUGAGUGUUUUGCUGUGCUCGGCCUGCCAAUUUUAUUUUGUAUAAACUUGGCUCAAACACGGUUUGUCUGAAACAUAUUUUUUAUAAUAAAUACAACUUUCAACAACGGAUCUCUUGGCUCUCGCAUCGAUGAAGAACGCAGC